UCCUUCUUCAUUUUUAAAAUUUACUCUUCUGCUAUAAUUUUUAAGUAUGGUCCAGGGACCUCUAGUGGUGCCCCAAGACAUUUUCAAAAGAUCCAUGAGGUCAAAGCUAUUUUCACAAUACUAAGGCUUUACUCACCUUUUUUCACCCUUAUUCUCUCACAAGUAUACUGUGUAGUUUUCCAGAGGCUAAAUGACAUGUGACACCGAAGCCAACUAAAUAUCAAAGAAGAUAUGAGUAUCCACCUGCAAAAUUGGAUGGAAUCCAAUUUCAUCUAUUAAGAUACCAAAAUAAUUUCCCUUUCUCACCUUGAAAUGACCUGAGCUAACAGAAGAAAUUUUCCUGCAUUGCUUAUGAGGAUCAUACAUAAAUCAAAAUGACCUGUUUGGAGGUUGCUGACAGUUCAGGCAUGGUGUCGGUGAUUAUGUGGAAUGCCCCGUGUCCUGAGUGGUUUAAAAUUUUGCGAGUUGGUUUAGUUUUUCUGCUUCAAGAUUAUUCUGUUAAAAAGAAUUAUCCAUUUAGAAUACAGCCUGUCCCCAUGGAUCCACAGAUCAAACUAAUUUCUACAAUGAAAAACACAAUAAAAGAUGGUGAGAGGAUGCUAAUUUACAACAUGCCACCUCUGCUAUAUAGAAUUGUAGGACCAGAUUUUCAUCAUGAAAACUCUCUAAGAGUCUUGCUGUAUCACCCAAACUUAAAGUGCAGUGGUACAAUCUCGGCUCACUGCAACUUCCAGCUCCUGGGUUCCAGCGAUUCUCCUGCCUCAGCCUCUCAGGACAAGGUGACAACGGGUCUCCCUGUAC